rnacentral:rRNA from 1 species
GUGGGGAAUUUUGGACAAUGGGCGCAAGCCUGAUCCAGCAAUGCCGCGUGCAGGAAGAAGGCCUUCGGGUUGUAAACUGCUUUUGUACGGAACGAAACGGUCCGGGUUAAUACCCUGGGCUAAUGACGGUACCGUAAGAAUAAGCACCGGCUAACUACGUGCCAGCAGCCGCGGUAAUACGUAGGGUGCAAGCGUUAAUCGGAAUUACUGGGCGUAAAGCGUGCGCAGGCGGUUUUGUAAGACAGGCGUGAAAUCCCCGGGCUCAACCUGGGAAUUGCGCUUGUGACUGCAGGGCUGGAGUGCGGCAGAGGGGGAGGGAAUUCCGCGUGUAGCAGUGAAAUGCGUAGAUAUGCGGAGGAACACCGAUGGCGAAGGCAAUCCCCUGGGCCUGCACUGACGCUCAUGCACGAAAGCGUGGGGAGCAAACAGGAUUAGAUACCCGAGUAGUCC